rnacentral:rRNA from 1 species
UCGACCUCAAAUCAGGAGAGAUCACCCGCCGAACUUAAGCAUAUCAGUAAGCGGAGGAAAAGAAACUAACGAGGAUUCCCCGAGUAGCGGCGAGCGAAACGGGAAGAGCCCAGCGCUGAAUCCUGCGGCCCCGGCGGGCCGCCGGGAAAUGUAGCGUUCGGGAGGAGAGUUAUACAUACACGCGCGGUCAUUAGUCACGGCUGCCUGUCCAAGUUCAUCUUGAACGGGGCCCGCUUACCCGCAGAGGGUGCCAGGCCCGUGGUGACGGUAGCCGGCCGCGACGGUCUCUCUCCCUAGAGUCGGGUUGCUUGAGAGUGCAGCCCUAAGUGGGUGGUAAACUCCAUCUAAGGCUAAAUACUACCACGAGACCGAUAGCGAACAAGUACCGUGAGGGAAAGUUGAAAAGAACUUUGAAGAGAGAGUUAAAGAGUACGUGAAACCGUUCAGGGGUAAACCUGUGGAACUCAAACGAGCGAACGGGGAGAUUCAUCGUGUCUUCCGCCGGGGCCCGCGUCUCGCGCCUCACCUCCGCCUUCGGCUCUCGGGUCGGGGUGGGGGGAGCGCGGGUGCGCAGCCGGGCCCCCGGAGCGCGUGCACUUCUCCCUUAGUAUAACACCGCGACCCGUCGCGCCGCGGUCGAAUGCGCCGUGCGGUUGACCCGUCUCGCAACGCGAGGCGGAGCCGCGGUGUCCACGGCCGCGGCGUACAUUUUAUAAAACGCAGCGACGGUAGAGAACGAGGAUCGCGUCCGCCCCCAGCGGGCGUCCGUCGCGCCGCAGCGGUGUCCUUCGCGCGGCCCCCGGCUCCCAGUGGGUCGCGGGCGUCGCGUGUCGGGCGCCGUCGUUAGUGGCGCGCUCUCGGACGGGACGCGUCCCGGUCGGCGGUGGUUUUGUUUUGGGCACUCACAGGACCCGUCUUGAAACACGGACCAAGGAGUCUAGCAUGUGCGCGAGUCAUUGGGAACGUUGAUAAACCCAGAGGCGAAAUGAAAGUGAAAGGCCGGCCUCGAGCCGGUCGCAGGGAAGAUGCGCGGACGGCGUCAGCCGUCCCGCCGCAUUCCCGAGGCGUUUCGAGAAAGCCACCGUGCGAUUAUCGAGACGCACUGAGAGCGUACACGCUGGGACCCGAAAGAUGGUGAACUAUGCCUGGUCAGGUCGAAGUCAGGGGAAACCCUGAUGGAGGACCGAAGCGAUUCUGACGUGCAAAUCGAUCGUCCGAACUGGGUAUAGGGGCGAAAGACUAAUCGAACUAUCUAAUAGCUGGUUCCAUCCGAAGUUUCCCUCAGGAUAGCUGGCGCUCGAGAAACAUGACGCGUUCGCGCGCCAUUCGCACAGUCUCAUCCGGUAAAGCGAAUGAUUAGAGGCAUUGGGGCCGAAAUGGCCUCAACCUAUUCUCAAACUUUAAAUGGGUGAGAUCUCCUUCUUGCUCGAAGAUGAAGUAGGAGCUCGGAUGGGAGUGCCAAGUGGGCCAAUUUUGGUAAGCAGAACUGGCGCUGUGGGAUGAACCAAACGUCGAGUUAAGGCGCCCAAUGAACGCUCAUCGGAGACCAUAAAAGGCGUUGGUCGCUCAGGACAGCAGGACGGUGGCCAUGGAAGUCGGAAUCCGCUAAGGAGUGUGUAACAACUCACCUGCCGAAGCAACCAGCCCUGAAAAUGGAUGGCGCUGUAGCGUUCAGCCUAUACUCGACCGUCGCAGGCAAGCGGGACGUUCGUCGGCGCCCUCGGGCGUCGCGAUCGUUUUGAAGCCGCGACGAGUAGGAUGGCCGCGGCGGUGUGCGCAGAAGGGUCUGGGCGUGAGCCCGCCUGGAGCCUCCGUCGGCGCAGAUCUUGGUGGUAGUAGCAAAUACUCAAGCGAGGUCCUUGAGGGCUGAUGUGGAGAAGGGUUUCGCGUUAACAGCCGUUGCACGCGAGUUAGUCGAUCCUAAGCCCUAGGAGAAAUCCGAUGUUGAUGAUGGUGUAAAGUUAUAUAUAUUAUUAUAAUAAUUUAAAAAGUACACCCGUCGGGCGAAAGGGAAUCCGGUUGCAGUUCCGGAACCCGGCUGCGGAACCGUCUUAAAAAUCGUUCCCUCGCAAGAGAGUUCGUCGGGGUAACCCAAAGUGGCCUGAAGACGCCGACGGGAGAUCCGGAGAGAGUUAUCUUUUCUGCCUGAGCGUUCGAGCGCCCUGGAAUCCCAUAGCGGGGAGAUAGGGCUCGGGACGCGAAGAGCAUCGCCGAUGCGGCGGUGUCCGGAUCGGCCCCUCGGACCUUGAAAAUUCAGGUGAGGGAUACGCGGAGAUGUCGCGCCGGCUCGUACCCAUAUCCGCAGCAGGUCUCCAAGGUGAAGAGCCUCUAGCCGAUAGAAUAAUGUAGGUAAGGGAAGUCGGCAAGUUGGAUCCGUAACUUCGGGAUAAGGAUUGGCUCUGAGGGCCGUGGCGUGUCGGGCCUGGUCGGGAAGAGGUCAUCGGCCGAGACGUGGAAGCCGGGCGGGGUCCCCCCGUGUGGUGCGUUCGCGCGCGCCGCG